rnacentral:snRNA from 1 species
ACUUUAUGUUAGACGACA